CUGGAUUUAGAUACAUCUGCCCGUUAGAGCUGCUUUUGAAGAUGCACUGAGCAGUACCUGGUCACUGCGGGAGCCAGUCAAGGAAACAAGAGGGGUGAGACGGUCAUAAGACUAGGUUCACAGUUUUUGGGAUUGGAAGGAGCCUUGCACAUCACCUAGUGAACUUUCUUUUGUAUCAAA
rnacentral:lncRNA from 1 species